rnacentral:misc_RNA from 1 species
CUUGCCUUUGACCCAACUCAGCGACUCGCUGACUGGACGGAAAUACUCACACAGACGCACACACAGCACGUAGGCGCAACCGGACGCACGCGCGUUUGCUGGGGCAUCUUCUUCUCCCCCUUCCCCUCCCCGGCCGUGCGGACGCACAAAUGACGGACUUUCCAAAGUUGAAUCGCAUUAAGUCAGAUGACGAGAACAUGGAAAAGAUUCACGUGGCGGCGCGCAAAGGCCAAACGGACGAGGUGCGCCGCCUUAUUGAGACGGGUGUGAGCCCCACCAUCCAGAACCGCUUCGGCUGUACGGCGCUGCAUCUCGCCUGCAAGUUUGGCUGUGUGGACACCGCCAAGUAUCUCGCUAGCGUUGGCGAGGUGCACUCCUCAUGGCACGGCCAGAAGCCGAUUCAUUUGGCGGUGAUGGCGAAUAAGACGGACCUUGUCGUAGCAUUGGUGGAGGGUGCUAAGGAGCGUGGGCAGAUGCCAGAGUCACUGCUCAAUGAGUGCGACGAACGUGAGGUCAACGAGAUUGGCAGUCACGUGAAGCACUGCAAGGGCCAAACUGCCCUUCACUGGUGUGUGGGACUGGGCCCAGAGUACCUGGAGAUGAUCAAACUCCUCGUGCAGCUCGGCGCCUCGCCGACUGCGAAGGACAAGGCCGACGAGACGCCCUUGAUGCGCGCCAUGGAGUUCCGCAACCGCGAGGCGCUGGAUUUGAUGAUGGACACUGUGCCUAGCAAGAGUUCGCUACGUCUCGACUAUGCCGACAAGCAGGGCAACUCGCACCUGCACUGGGCGAUCCUGAUCAACUGGGAAGACGUUGCCAUGCGCUUUGUGGAGCUGGGAAUCGAUGUCAACAUGGAGGACAACGAGCACACGGUGCCGCUGUACCUGUCUGUGCGGGCCGCCAUGGUGCUGCUCACGAAAGAGCUCGUGCAGAAGACCGACGUCUUUCUCAUCCAGACGUGCCCCUACCACAAUGGCACGACGGUGCUGCCGGAUCGAGUUGUGUGGCUGGACUUCGUGCCGGCGGCCGCCGACCCCUCGAAGCAGGAAGUCCUUCAGCUUCUGCAGGAGAAGUUGGACGAGGUAGUACGCAGCCUCAGCAGCGGCGCCGGCGGCGCCGUCAAGAGGAAGAAGAAGGCCGCACCAGCAGUGAAGCGCAUGAAACUAGCACCCUCCGCCCCGGUGCGCACCCGCUCUCGUAGCCGCGCGCGCAGCAGCGCUGUGAGCAAGUAAGCAGAUGGAGCGAAUCUGCUCCAUUGCACACGCAGUGACGCGCGCAAGUGUUUACUGGUAUGAUGUUUGUGGAUGCCCGCGUACGUCUGAGUGCUUAUAGAGCCGUAAAAGGCGGUGCACACACGCGUGGCAGGGAGACGGGUGCGCGUGGGGCAAUCUGCCAUGACCCGCUGCACGCGCGCGCGUGUGAAGACGGAAUGGGCUCUUUUGGAUGAAAAGGCUGAUGCUCACUGACGGCUGAUGAUGUUGAUGUAGUGCCACCUAUUGUAUUAGCGCGAGUUUCUGUGUGUGCGUGUACUUUUUUAGAAACGGUGGCUACGACGGCCGCUGAUCCGAGUCUGUGCGGAUGGAGGGAUUACAGUGGGCGUGAGGGGCGGAAGGGCGGGGGUUGAGCGAGGCGAAGAGGAGGCGUACGGGAAUGAGGGGGAUGUAUGGUUGAGGAAUUUUGGAAGCAACAUAAAAUAAAAGGGUCCGAUGGAGAGGUCAGCGGCGCGUGAAACGCUGACCUUUGCCGCCAUGCGUGCUGCCGCACCGAUCUUAAGCAGUGCUGACCGUCGUCCCAGGUAGCUUCUCAGUACUCUCUUUGCUUCUUUCUUUUGCAGGUUCUUUUCCGGCUCGAAGCCUUUAUCCUUUUCUUAAGGGUUCGUUGCCGGGGAGGGGCGUACGCAUUCAACGCACUUUUCCACACCCGACUUCGCCACUGCCGCUGUGCUUUCUCUGCUGCUCUGGCUACUUCCGGCACUGUAUCCGCUUCCCUCCUUUUCGACCACCCCUCACCUCUCGUACCUCCAUCGUCGAGGUGAUCUCGCUUUCUCUCCCUCUCUCUGCCUGCAG